rnacentral:rRNA from 1 species
GUUCACCUACGGGAGGCAGCAGUGGGGAAUAUUGGACAAUGGGGGGAACCCUGAUCCAGCGACGCCGCGUGAGUGAAGAAGUAUUUCGGUAUGUAAAGCUCUAUCAGCAGGGAAGAAAAUGACGGUACCUGACUAAGAAGCCCCGGCUAACUACGUGCCAGCAGCCGCGGUAAUACGUAGGGGGCAAGCGUUAUCCGGAUUUACUGGGUGGAAAGGGAGCGUAGACGGUGCAGCAAGGCUG